GCCCGGGUGGCGGAAUUGGCAGACGCACUAGCUUGAGGUGCUAGCGGGGUAAAACUCGUGCUGGUUCGAAUCCAGUCCCGGGCACCA
rnacentral:tRNA from 1 species